rnacentral:rRNA from 1 species
UACGGAGGGUGCAAGCGUUAUCCGGAUUCACUGGGUUUAAAGGGUGCGUAGGUGGGUCUGUAAGUCCGUGGUGAAAUCUCCGAGCUUAACUUGGAAACUGCCAUGGAUACUAUAGGUCUUGAAUACUGUGGAGGUUAGCGGAAUAUGUCAUGUAGCGGUGAAAUGCUUAGAUAUGACAUAGAACACCAAUUGCGAAGGCAGCUGGCUACACAAAUAUUGACACUGAGGCACGAAAAGCGUGGGGAUCAAAACAGG